CUGUUAAGAGUGAACAGUAAAUAGUAAAGAUUACUUGUGUAAAAAAAAACAAACAAACUUAAAAUAGUACGUGCUUCUAAAUACACAUAUCAAAAUCUUUUUGUUUUUCGUAUGCCUUCUUUUUUUAUGAAACUGGGAUGAGCAUAUUGCAUUUGCAUGUAAGAGUCUCAUCAACUACAUCCUCUUUUUUUUUUCCUGCUCUCUCUUUUAUUAAGGCCCAGUUUGGGACAGCUAUGCUGUGAGAAUAAUUUUUUCUGAAAUUACUGUAAAAAGAAUUACUUAUGGAAUUGCUGUGAGAGUAAUUAGCUGAGAUGUUUGGUAAACUGUUUUUAAAAAAGCUGUAAGAACUAAAAAACAAUUUUAAGUGUUUGAGAUAAAAAUAGAAACUCUUUUAGAUAGCUAUGAUGACCAAAAUGGGCAUACAUGUUAUCCCCUCUUCUUUUUUUACUUUUUUCCCCCUUAUUUUCGCUCUUUUAGCUUCUAUCCCACCAUUGAUCAUCACAUCCAAAAACUAUGAGCUCUUACAACUAGCAACAACCCCAUGAGAUAUGAUCCCCUUUUCAACUCUUAAACCCAGAUUCGGUGGUCUCAUCUCCUACUCACCCAAACCACCCUCCAACUUUUCUCUGAUCCCGAACAGGAGCUUCACCUCCAUGAACAAUGAUUUUCAUUUUGCAGACCAAUUAUAGGAACUAUGAAGGACAAAGGAGAGGAUGAGGGAUGUACCCAUGAAAUUUUUUGGGUUUGUAUCGGUAGAACAUAGAAUUUAUGUUGGUGAGGAAGAGUAAAGUGAGAAUCAAAGAGGCUGGGUUGUUUAGCCAAUGACUUAAAAGAGGAUGGUACUUAAUAUGAACAAGUGUUCUUUUCAGAAAGAAUACGGGUAUAAUAGGAUUUAGGAAAGAUUCAUUUAACCCUUCCGUGUUUCUGAAAUUGAUUCCCGUAAAAACACCUUUUACCCUUCUUCUCCAAAACCCGCUUUUAAGAGAAUCUAUUCCUCUAAAAUCAGUUCUACGGGUGGUUACCAAACACCUCAUGUUGGCCCCAAAAUCACUUUUGACCCUAAAUGCAGUUUCAAAAUCGUUCCCAAACUGGGCCCAACUCUCUUUGUUCUCGAGACCUAUAAUUUAGAAGAAAAAUGCUUGCGUUCAAACUCAAUCUUAUUUAUGUUCAAAAAAAAAAACUCAAUCUUAUUUGUAUAUGUUAGGCACUGUACAUCCAUGAUGGAACCGUGAACCAUCCAUACAUUAAGUCAAACGUUAACGAUCAUCUCAACAAAAAAAUCAAAGAAACCAUAACUCAUAAGUUCCAGAGCAUCAAACAAAUGGACAACUCUAGUGAAAGUUAGUAGUCUCGUGUCAACCGUUCAUUGUUCAAUGUUAUUGAAUUCAAACUAGAACAAAAGUACAACCACAAGAUCCUAAAUGGAUUGAAAGCAACAACAAGAACAACGACACACAAACAUAUCCUACAAACCCUACAAACUUUAGCUAAGGAGCAAAUCAAUCAACAAUAGGAUGACACAAAGACAUAUUCCUAAGGCCACACAUGACCGUCACCCGAUCGGCCGCCUAAACCUUAGAAGCCAACCAAACUAGUCUCGUAGAAGCACAACAGUACCUAACCCAUCGAAAACUCUCCACAACACAAAUCUCAAAUACAUACAAAACAUCCUCAUAGACAGUAACCAAAACAAAACAAAAAAGAAAAGAGGUAAAAAGAAUGAUCCGAUCUGCAGCGAGGAAGGAUCUGAAGGGACAACAUGCAGCCGCUUGUAUUCUCUUCCAUACUUUGUAUCAUAAUAAUAACUUUUGAAUUAAAAUUACAGUCUCUACCAACAUUUGUAACUUGUAAGUGACUGGCAAGUGACAUUAUUGUACUGCUUAGUUGAAUAUCACACAAUCUUUUCUUAAUGAACUAAAGUUUGAACUCGUUUACCGGAGAAAAAUAAUUUGUAUUACAACCUAAUUAGUUCAUGAAUCAAAUUCAAUUCAUGCUAGCUAUGCAUACAAACUCAGACCAAAAAAAAUAGCUAUGCAUACAAACAGUUCAGUGGAUCACAAGGUCUGAAGCACCAUAAAACAGACUGAAGUACAGGCAUGCCAAUGUCCACCUGCACUCUGCCCAGUCACAAGGUCCAUAUAUCUCCCUGCUACAAGCAGCCAACACAAACCUGCGGCAAAUACUUGGUCUGCUUACUUGUGGUUGUGGUUGUAGAAAUUAAUUAAUUAAUUAAUUAAUGUUUUAAGAUUAAUAGUAGAGGGGACAGAUGUCAAAAAGAUGUGAGAUGGGCCGAAGGAAACCGACUUGGGUUUUGGGAAACACUAUAAAAGAGCAUAGGGAUUCAGUCUUUCUCCAGAAAAAAAGAAGAAAAAGAAAUCGACCUUUCUCUCAUGAUUGGCCGGAAAAUCCCAAGCGCCGGGAAGAGCAAAUCGUUCGAGUAUGAUGGGGAGUUCAAGAUGAGCACCAGGAUAGAAAGGCAAAAGAGAGCAAGGAAUUACGCAACGGCUGGAUGUUGGUUCCUCUUAUAUAUAUAUAUAUUUAUUUUUUUUUUAUUUAUUUUCAGAUGUUUUGUGAUUGUCGAGAUUGUUGAGUAACAUGUUUGAGUAUUACCACGAACAGGUAGGAAGAUCAGGGUCGGUACACAACUGUAUCCAGUCAAGUUCAUAGAUUGUAAGAUUUUGGAUGAGAUUGCAUUAUACAUUCACGUUUCGACUUGAGUUGUCAUAUUAGCCAGUACUGAUUGAUUAAUGUCAGUGAAACAGUCCCGGCACCAGAACCAGAGUUCUUCACUACCCUUGACGAGGAUGGUAAUGCUUAAUUUUUUAGGAUGAUUUUCUCAUUGCAGCUGUUCAUGUUUCCUUUUUAUGAAUGUUUUUCAUAGUACUGACCCUUUGGUUUUGAAAUUGUCUCUUACAGGUGUUGAACAUACAUACUGCGCUUACAGUUGUAAGUAAGCUCUUGAUUUAAACAGUUCGGAAAUAUCCUUAAGCUCUGUGUUUAAAAGAACAUACAUAUUUCUUUCAUUAUUUCUUUGUUCGAUUUGUAAUGACAUGGAAAUGCUGUGAUCAAUUUGGUUAUUGAAGAAAACUUCAGUAGCCAUGUCUUAUGGGUUUUUUGCAUGAGGUCCGACACAAAAAGAUAUUUGUGAAUUUGUGUUUUUGCCAUAUAACUUUUCCAGUCCAAUCAUUUGGCUCUAUCUGGUCUAUGCCUGAUCUAUAGCACACUGUUAAGAUGGAACAAAUAUCUAUUGAUGUAAUCAGAGAUUUUGUUGCAUCAAAAGUUUUUUGUUCGUAACAUUUUUAAUCACAGUUUCAUUCUUGCUUUUCUUAUGACAUUAUCAAUAUGUUUUCUAGUACCUCAUGUCAAAUUAUGUCCUGAACUCCUGUGUGUUUUGGUAAUGACUAUAUAUAUAAUGGUAUUUCAUUUACAACAGUUAGCAGUGAAAAAUGAAAGAGUAUCUGUGUUUGUAUGUCAUGUGCCCCUGGUAUGGCACAACACAGACCCUUGGUUUUGUUAAAUAAUCAUCCAUAUUUUCCCUUGCAUGCACACAGAGAGCCAUCUGUUUUCAAUUAGUCACUGAAUCUCUUCUUUUAGUUUUUCAAAUCAUACUGCCAUUUGUACUUGUGAAGCAUGUGUCAAAGGGCUUGUUUUCUGUUGUUAUUGUUUUGACAGUGUAUGUGUGAAACAGGUACAUAUCCACGUCCAGAGCCCAAAGGUAUGUUCUCUUUUUAUUUUUAUAUUAUUUUGUUAGCGUUCAUGAUCUCUCUUCGUAUGGUACUGUUCAGUCUCACUUAAUUGCCUUGUUGUUGUUGAAACAGUUGUUAAACAACCCGACCCGGGAUAUGGUAAGAUUUUAUACAUUUUAAAAAGUCGUAUAUAUGUUUUCUAGGCAUUUCUUUUGGGCUCUGUGCUUUGUAUGAAUUUGGGCUUCCAUUUUCGGCUGAAGGAUUAUGUGUUUUAUUUUCUACUUUUUAGUUCUUGCGACUAAAGUUACGUUGGACUGGUUUUGACGCUGUCUAAAGGAUAAGUAACGUGUUGAUUGUAUAUUUAUGUAAUUUAAGUGAAAUUUCCAGCCGAUUCAUUUUGGUCUGUGAAUAAUGUGUAGUUAAUACACUUUAACGGGGUCGUAGAUCAUUUUUGCAUUGCAGCUCCACUUUAGCAAACAUCGUUUUACUAUAUUACUGUUCCAUGUGAUACUGUGUUCACAGUUGUGAUUAUUUUUUUGUUUCCUGAAACAGAUGAUGUAUUUAAAUUUUUUGGUGAUCUUGCGGACUAUUAUUAUGAUGGUAAGCUUNNNNNNNNNNNNNNNNNNNNGCUUCGAACUAACUGAAAUCAAUUGAUGGAUCAAAUCUGCCAAACCUGAACCGUUCAUGCCUAUAAUUUUAAUUCGCAGUUUUGAACACCUUAACGAUCACCAAUUUGGAUGAAAUUUUGCAGAAGUGAUUUACAUAUUAGGACCUAAAAACUGAACGGUUAAGAUUGAAAAGUAGGUCUAAUGCUUGAUCCCUCAUAUAUGUCAAAAAAAAGGAUCCCUUAGUAGAAGGGCCCUGUAUAUAUAUGUAUGUAUAUAUUCACACUUCACCACCCCUUAAUUAGCGUAGUCAUUGUGGUUUUCACAUUAUGUAUGAUUGGUUACAUCUUCUCCAGCCAGAUUAUUUUGGUCUUGUGCCAUACAGUGACUAUCUGUUGCAGUGAUCAUAGAUCUGAUUGUAUCUGCAAUCUUAUAUAUGUGGCUUACAUGCCUAAUGCGUUUGAAACCUUCAAACCAUCCCUACUGUUACCUUUAUUGACUUUCAUAGUAAUGGAGUUCAAAAAUAAAUUAGGGCAAACUGCAGUAUAUAUCUCGUGCGGGAUCAUAUAUCAUUUUUGCAUUACACUCCACUUAAAUAGGAAACAUUUUUGUUUUUGCUUUCUUUAUGUUACUAUUCAAUCUCAGAUGUUGACAAUAGUGAUUUUUUUUUGGGUUACAACAUUUGUCACUUACUCUUUUUCUUUUUCCUGAUACAGAAGUUGUGUUUACUUUUGGUAAUGAACCUGGUUCGAUCCCCAUUGAUGGUAAGGUUUAGAUUUUGUUUAUUUUUCAUUACGCCCCAACAUAGAUACAAUCUUGAGUCCACCACUGCCUUGAUUAGUCAUUGUGGUUUUUACAUUAUGUAUGGCUGAUAAAAAUUAAUUAUAGUUCUUAAAUAUGUUUUGCUACAACCAAAUUAUUUUUGUCUGUGUGCAGUGCAUGACUCAUUUGGCAUUUACUAUUCAAUGAAGCAAGAAUAUUGUUGAUGUUUGUCGCUGUAUUAUGCAUAUAUAGAUGAUACACUAGAUUAGGUAUGCCAUGUUUGUGGGGGGUUUACAUGAUUACCGAUUCUGUUUCUUUUUCUUUCUUAGCGGAACUAUCAUUUAUACCACCAGCAGUCAGCAAUGUCACCAAGGGCGGGAAAGCAAAGUGUUCACCUGCUAGAGGUUAAAGUAAAUUAGGGAGACUGCAGUAUAUUUCUCUAGUGUCUUGCACCUUUCUAAUUGCAGAUUUUGGCAGUUCUCCUCAGAGGAGCUCUGUUUGUGUGGCGUAGUUGUUUGUGGUUUCUGAUGAUACAUUGGGUUUGCGGCAGCAGUGUGUUUUGAGGGAAAGUGUGUUAUUUUGAUGCUCUGUUUAUAUUUUCCAGGACUACUCUUUGUAAGAAAGUUCUGUGGAUUGAUAUGCCUUACUGGUGUGUUCUGAGGGAAUGUGUUGGUUCCUUUAUUUUGAUGCUCUGUUUACAUUUCCCAAGUGUUCGUGAGAAAGUUCUGUGGAUGGAUGUGCAUUUCUGGUUAAUAUUGUAGUAUGUCUCCCUUGCGUAUAUCAAUAUGCUAGAUUUUUAAAAUGAUGAUACUUUUAAGAUAUAUUCAGGGAGAAGAAACUGAAAACUCUGGUUUUACGAGCUACACUUCCUUCUACUUGAUAUCUUCUUUGUAUUAUUACUCUUUUAUCCCGGACUUUACUGAUCUUUCAGUCUUAUCCUCGCAUCCAUGUCAUCUCAUUUAUAACCAAGAUCAGCCUCCCAAGUCUUACGGAUAAUGGAUAGCUGUGUUCAGUAUAGCAAUAAGAGAGACAUGGUUUUGCAAAUUCGCCAUCCUAUAAAACAGAUACAAAUCUUGGGGCCCUACAUCCCUCACUUUCUGAGAAGGAGAUGGCGGAACAGUGUUGUGGAGAUCAUAUACGGUGGUCUGCAGUUAUCAAAGUUCUAAUGAAGGCCCAGGUCGUUGGGGUUAGGGGGUUUCAGUUCAGAUAUUUAGGACUAAGAAAUUGUAUCAUUGAAACACUUCAUGGCUCCAAAGGCAUGAAUCCUUACGGAAGUACUUGAAAGUUAAAAUGGACCACAAAUUCACCGACGCCAAAACAGGUUUUUAGCUUUUAAUCCAAGCAGUACCCUAUAGUGAGUACAAAUGGACACUCUUUUAUCUUUUUUAUUUCUUUUGGUAAAUUUAAUGUACAGAUCAAUGCUGAGUACAGUUCAAGUUCUUUUUGGUAGAAGGCCACCGUUCAUGACAUUCAGUUUACAUUUGUAUACGAUAUCAAACAGUUCUAAUAUACUUGAAGGACUUAUUCUAUUAUAUGUGAUUAAAAUAGUUCAUUAGAAAACUAUUUGAUGUUCCUCUCCACAACAACAUACAGAAAUUGAACGAUCAUAUAACUUAAAAGAGAUAAUUAGAGGAAGAUGUGGCAUUUUUACAGAUUCGUGAUAUAUUUACAGAUUCAUGUCUAUGCAAGGAACAAACCUUUUGCUGCAAUUUUAUGAGAGUCUAGUGUCUUAUCUUAUUCAUAAAUAACGAUCAUUCAUGUGCUUUUAGGUAAGUACUAUAUCCUACCAGUUUGUAGGAAUAUUUCCUAGUUCAAGUAGAUUUGGGUGCCCAGAGUAGAUUUGGGUCCAAUCUGGGUGUCCAUUGCUAGAUGGGCGUGGACUGUGAUGGGUCCGAUGGAGGGGAGAUGGGCUCUUCCAAGACCCACUCAUUGUUGGGCUCGAAUCUGGGACCCAAGAAGAUGGGUAGGGCUGUGUUAGGUGUUUAUCCAUUGUUAUGAAGGCCCAGUUUCAUGGCUCUUAUUCUCAGGAGAAGGAUUGGCUCUUGCUCUCAAAAGAAGGAAUGACGUCAAGGUUACUUGGUUACUUGUCACGUUUGUGUCGACCUUGCAUAUGGUUUGUGACAUUAAAAUUGCUUACGUUCUUAGAUCAUAAGUUUAUGAGUGGUUUUUGCAUGGUUUAAUUAUUUCGAGCCCAAGAGGACGGAUCAUGUUUAUGUUGUAUUCCUACUUUUAGCUUUUAAUGAAUUGAUGUCCUAUUAUAAAAAAAAUAAUAAAAAUAAAAAACAUUCCCUGAAAUAAGAUUCAUCAUAAUUGAGUCAAAAUAUGAAGAUUUUUUGGGUCAUACCUGUUGAGUUGGGUUCGAGACAUAUUCUAGAUUUUGGGUUAUGAGUUAGAGCUGCCCUAAUUGUGGAUAUUUUCUUCCAUAUUUUGUAUCAUAACAAUAACUUUUGAAUCAAGUACCAUCUCUAGCAACGGUUAUUGGCAAGUGACAUUGUUGUAUUGCUUAGUUGAAUUUCAAGCAAUCUUUUCAUAACAAACUUAAUUCUGAACUCGUUUAAUAAGGAAGGAGAAAAUAAUCUGUAUAAAAAAGAAAACAAAUACACUAGUUGGUUCAUGAAACAAAUUCAAUUAAUGCCAGCAUACAAACAGUUCAGACUGAAGCACAAGCAUGCCGGUGCGCACCUGCACUCUGCUCACAACGUUCAUAUAUCUCUGCUGCUACAAGCCAAGAUUGUUGAUGGUGACCUUGUCUACCUACCUUGUCUGCUUACUUUGUUUUUUUUUCGAUGGUGACCUUGUCUGCUUACUUGUGCUUGUUUGGUUUUUUUUGGGUCUGAUACUUGUGGUUUUGCUUUAGAAAUUAAUUAAUUAAUGUUUAAAUAGAAGCGGGGACAGAUGUCAAACGGAUAUGAGAUGGGCCGAACAAAACCGACUUGGGUUUUGGGAAACAAUAUAAAAACAGCAUAGGGAUUCAGUCUUUAUCCUCGUGAAGAAAAAAGAAGAAAAAAGAAACCGACCUUUCUGGCUUUCUCUGUCUCAUCAUGAUUGGCCGGAAAAUCCGAUACGCCGGAAAGAGCAAAUCUUCCGACUACGAGGAGUUCAAGAUGAGCAUUAGGGUAGCAAGGAGAUUGAGGAGGGUAAGGAGAGCAAGGAAAGCACGGAACGGCUGGAUGUUUGGUACGUACCUCUUUGAAUUUUGAUUUUUGAUUUUUGAUUUUUGUGCUUGUCGAGGUUGUUGAGUAACAUGUUUCAGUAUUUUCAUGAACAGGUCGGAAGAUCAGGACCGGGAGACAGUUUAUUCGACCUAAGUUCCUAGAUUGUAAGAUGUAUUUUGGAUGAGUUUGCAUUAAACAAUAAUCACGUUUCGACUUGAAUAGUACUGAUUAAUGUCACUGCGAAACAGACGAGACAUCAGAUUCAGAACCAAAGAUCGUCACCUUCGUUGACAAAAAAGGUAAUGUUUCUUUUUUUUUUUUUUUUUUUUUUUUUGCAUUGCAGCUGUUCAUGUUUCCAUUUUUAUGGAUGUUAGUUUUCAUACUACUGACUUUUUAUGGGUUCAAUUUUCACUUACAGGUGUUGAACAAACAUUAAGAAUGUACCAUAGUAAGUACACUCUUGAUUGAAGUCCUUCAGCUCUGUGUUUUAACUUGUAAAGAACAUGAAUAUUUUUGUCAUUAUUCCCAUUGUUCGUUUUAUAAUGACAUGAAAUGCUGUCAUCAAUUUGGUUACUGAAGAAAACUUCAGUAGACUUCCUUAGCCAUGUCUUAUGGGUUUCUCGCAUGAGGUAUAGCCGACGCAAAAUCAUAUUUCUAGUUUUGCGGUUUUUCCAUAUUUUUUUCCCAGUCUGAUCAUUUUGCUCUAUAUGCCUGAUCCGUAGCACACAGUUAAGAUAGAGCAAAUUUCUGUUGAUGGGAUCAGAGAUUUCUUUCCAUCAGCAGUUUUAUGUUCAUAACGUACAGUUUUAAUCACAGUUUCAUUCUUGUUUAUCUUUUAUGACAAUAUCGAUCAAUUUGCUUUCUAGUACCUCAUGUCAAGUAGCAUGUCCUGAACUCCUGUGUAUUUUGGUAAUGACUAUAUAUAUACACACACAACGGUUAGCAGUGAAAAAUGAAAGAGCUAGCAUCUGUGUUUGUAUGUCACGUACGUGCCCCUGGUAUGGCACAUCACAGACCCUUGGUUUUGUUAAAGAAUCAUCCAUACUUUCCCUUGCAUGCAGAGAGAGCCAUCUGUUUUCAAUUACACUUAAUUUUUUCUUUUAGUUUUUUAAAUUAGACUGCCAUUAGUACUUGUAAAGCAUGUGUUAAAAGGUUUGUUUUUAUUGUUUUGACGGUGUAUGCAUGUGUGAAACAGGUUCAUAUCCCCCUCCACAGCCCAAAGGUAUGUUCUCUUAUUAAUUUUUUUUUACCAUUCAUAUUUCUCUUCUUAUGUUGCUGUUCAGUUUCACUUAAUCGCCUUUCGUUUGCUGUUGAAACAGUUGUUAAACCUCCCGAGCCGGGAUAUGGUAAGAUUUUGAUCAUUUUUCAAGUCUUGUAUAUGUUUUCUAGGAAUUUCUUUUGACCUCUGUGCUUUGUAUGAAAUCGGGUUUCAAUUUUCGGAUGAAGGAUUAUAUGUGUUUUAUUUUCUACUUUUUAGUUCUUGCGAGUUGCGAGUAAAGUGCGUUGAACUGGCUUAGACGCUGUCUAAAGGAUACAAAAAAUUGUGUUGAUUGUAUAUUUAUGUAAUUCAAGCAAAUUGUUAUCUGUAACAUUUCCAGCCAAGUCAUUUUGGUCUGUGUAUAAUGUGUAGUUAUUACACUUCAUAGAUCAUAUUUUUCAAUUGCAGCUCCACUUUAGCAAUCAUCUUUACUAUGUUACUGUUCCAUGUGAUGUGUUCGCAGUAGUGAUAUAAUUUUUUUUUUUUCUUGAAACAGAUGGUGUUCAAAUUUUUGGUGAUAUUGCGGACUAUGAGUUGGAUGGUAAGCUUUAGUUUUUUCUUUAAGGUUUAUGAGUAAUUAUCGGCGUACUUCCUCAUGUUCUNNNNNNNNNNNNNNNNNNNNNNNNNNNNNNNNNNNNNNNNNNNNNNNNNNNNNNNNNNNNNNNNNNNNNNNNNNNNNNNNNNNNNNNNNNNNNNNNNNNNNNNNNNNNNNNNNNNNNNNNNNNNNNNNNNNNNNNNNNNNNNNNNNNNNNNNNNNNNNNNNNNNNNNNNNNNNNNNNNNNNNNNNNNNNNNNNNNNNNNNNNNNNNNNNNNNNNNNNNNNNNNNNNNNNNNNNNNNNNNNNNNNNNNNNNNNNNNNNNNNNNNNNNNNNNNNNNNNNNNNNNNNNNNNNNNNNNNNNNNNNNNNNNNNNNNNNNNNNNNNNNNNNNNNNNNNNNNNNNNNNNNNNNNNNNNNNNNNNNNNNNNNNNNNNNNNNNNNNNNNNNNNNNNNNNNNNNNNNNNNNNNNNNNNNNNNNNNNNNNNNNNNNNNNNNNNNNNNNNNNNNNNNNNNNNNNNNNNNNNNNNNNNNNGGAAAAAAGGGACUCGCCGGGGAGGGAAAGUGGUUGGGGACGCUGCUGGAGUCUUCUGGGGUGGAGGCGCGCCGGUGCCGGAGGGUGGAGAACGGACGGACAUCCGCACUUUAAGUUGAGUGCGGACGUCCGCUUCAUAUCCUUUCUUUAUAUAUAUAUAUACAGGAAUUCUUAAGUGCGGACGUCCGCACCAAAGUUUUCGUGCGGAUUUCCGUUUUUGCACCACUUUUCGAUCGAAUUUUCUCAUCUCCACCGUCUAGUAUCUAGAUAAUAUUGUGUAGAUCAUCUCUGCAAAAUUUCAGCUAAUUUGGUAAUCGUUANNNNNNNNNNNNNNNNNNNNNNNNNNNNNNNNNNNNNNNNNNNNNNNNNNNNNNNNNNNNNNNNNNNNNNNNNNNNNNNNNNNNNNCGAGUUUGAGGGCCUUAACGAUCACCAAAUUGGCUGAAAUUUUGCAGAGAUGAUCUACACAAUAUUAUCUAGAUACUAGACGGUGGAGAUGAGGAAAUUCGAUCAGAAAGUGGUGCAAAAAUGGAAAUCCGCACCGAAACCUUCGGUGCGGACGUCCGCAGCCAAGAAGGGCUAUACACACACACACACACACAUAUAUAUGUUCACACUGCUAUGCUAUCGAGUUGUUUUUUGUUAAGAUGAUUUCACCAGCCCUUAAUUAGCGUAGUCAUUGUGGUUUUCACAUCAUGUAUGAUUGAUUAUGUCUUCUCUAACCAAAUUAUUUUGGUCUGUGUGCUAUACAGUGACUAUUUGUUGCUAUGAUCACAGAUCUGAUUGCAUCUGCAAUCUUAUAUAUGUAGCUGCCAUGCUUAUUGCAUUUGAAAACCUUCAAACCAUCCCUACUGUUACCUUUAUUGACUUUCGUAGUAAUGGAGUUAAAAAAUAAAUUUGGGCAAAUUGUGGGUUAUAUGAUCCCUACUAUUACCUUUAUUCUUAAUAUAACUGCAAUAUAUGUCUCGUGUGGGAUCAUCUAUCAUUUUUGCAGUGCACCCCAUUUAAUUAGGAAACAUAUUUUUUUGCUUUCCUUGUGUCACUAUUCAAUUUCACCUGUUGACAUUAGUGAUAUUUUUUUGUUGGUUAUAACAGCUGUCACUUACUCUCUCUUUCUUUUUUCUGAUACAGAAGUUGUGUUUACUUUUGGUAAUGAACCCGGUUCGAUCCCCAUUGAUGGUAAGGUUUAGAUUUUGUUUUGAAGGCUUGUAAGGAACAAUAUUGGGAACUUCCUGGUGCUCCGAUUUGUUGAAAAUUUUAUCUUGGUAGAGUUUAUAUUUUCACAAUAAAUUACCAGCCCUUGAUUAGUCAUUGUGGUUUUUACAUUGUGUAUGGCUGAUAAAGAAUAAUAAUAGUUCUUAAAUGUCUGCUACAACCAAAUUAUUUUGGUCUUUGUGCCGUGCAUGAUUCAUUUGGGUGCCGAUUUACUAUUGAAUGAAGCAAUAAUAUUGUUGAUGUUGGUUGGUCACUGAAUUAUGCAUAUAUAGAUGAUACACUAUAUUAGGUAUGCCAUGUUUUUGGGGGUUUUACCUGAUCACUGAUUCUUUUUCUUUUUCUUUCUUAGCGGAACUAUCAUUUAUACCACCAGCAGUCAGCAAGGUUGGGAAAGCAAAGCGUUCAGCUGCUAGGCCUUUACACGGUAAGAUUUUUGUGUGUGUGUUUAUAUAUAUUCUUUUUCUUCUGUAGGUUUGUGAGGAAUGUUACCGAUACAACUGCUACUAUCUAUUAGUCUUGAUGUUUUUGGUUUUCACAUCAUAUAUGUAUUAAAUUACAUAUAUGUUGACACGAUACCCCUGUAGGGCAUGUAUAUAUUCUGGGAUAUCUUGGAUUUGAUUUUGGUCAGUUUUUUUUUCUUAAUACCUGGGUCUGGUAUUGCCCUAAUGCGUUUGAAAACCUACAAACUAUACCUACUGUUACCGUGAUCGUCGUUUUGGAGGUUUAAAAAUAAUUUAGGGAGACUGCAGUAUAUUUCUCUGGUGUCUUACACUUUUUUAAUUGCAGGUUUUGGCAUUUCUCCUGAGAGCACCUCUGUUUGUGUGGCAUAGUUUGUGGUUUCUGAUGAUGGCACUUCAGGUUGGGGCAGCAGUGUGUUUUGAGGGAAAAUGUUUUAUUUUGAUGCUCUGUUUACAUUUCCCAAGUCUUUGUAAGAAAGUUCUGUGGAUUGAUUGGCAUUUCUGGUUAAUAUUGUAGAAUUUGUUUAAAAUUAAUGGAAGGUGAAUAUUAAUUAGAAAAAUUCAAAAAGUGAAUAAAAGUAGAAAUUUAAGUAAUCUUAACGUAAUUGAUAAACUUAACAUUUUUUCUUGCGCUGAAAGUAAGCAAUCAACUAGAGAAGUUGUCGGAAAAGAAAAAAAAAAAUACGACUAGGUUGAAAGCUGAAGGCUUGAGGGUGUAUUUGCUGCUCAGGGCAGUACGUGAAGCGGGUGCUUGUGGGUGGGUGCAAGCUGAGAGUUCUCGUCUUUUUUUUUUUGUUUUGGUCUGCAAGCUGAGAGUGGCAAAGGCUCUUUGUGGAGCUUUUGCAGAUGCUACUAGGUACCCAAUUCCGGUAAAGGCCGGGUUGGUUCACAUUUCAUUGGGACGUGGCCAGAUGCUGUGGAGCUGGUUUCUGUGAAAUCUAAUUAAUUUACUUGAAGGACUGGUCUAUUAUAUGUGAUUAAAAUAGUUCAUUAAAAAACUAUUUGAUGUUCAUCUCCACAACAACAUACAGAAAUUGAACUUGAAUGAUCAUAUAACUUCGGUACAACUUCGGUGUGGGUGGUUUCAACUUUGGCAUGUGUUUCCAACAGGCAUGGUAUACCGGCACAGCAGAAUUUUCCAUAACUUCAAACUAUUUGUGAAACACAUUGUCAUGUGCACUUUGAAACAAAGUUAGACAGUAAAAUAUUAGAGGAAGGUGUGGCAUUUUUACAGAUUCCUGGUAUAUUUACAGAUUCAUGUAUAUGCAAGGAACAAUCCUGAUGCCUGCAAUUUAUUGGGAGUUAGUAUCUUAUCUUAUUCAUAAAUAACGAUCAUUCAUGUGUUUUUAGGUAUAUAAGUACUAUAUCUUACCAGUUUGUAGGAAUAGUGAUAUUUCCUAGUUCAAGCAGGAGAGUAUAAUCACACAGAAAUAACUAAAAAUGGAUGGGAGAAAGUAUCAUGUAUUGCAUCACUAAGCUUCUUGAAUUCCCAGAUAAUGCUCUAUGGGCAGGUUCAAAAUGCUUGCUUGCAACAUCAGGUGGCUUUGCAUCUUCCCCACGACGGACAACAAUCCCCUUUUUGCGAAGAGAAGAUGGCUCGUUAGAGCAGGCAUUCCAGAGGCAGUCUACCAGCUGUCUCUCCUCUCUAGCUGCUCCAAGCUCUCUAGGUGACAUCGAACUGAUAGCCUCGAUUCAUUUUUGAAAAAGCUGCUUCAAUUUCUCAUUUUCUUCAGCUUAUUAUUAUUGACCCAUCAGUUUUCUUUUGAGCAAGCUCAAGAAGACCCAGGAGUGCAGCUUCUCGCACUUCAAGAUCAUUGCUCGCAAGGUCCAUCAUCAUGUGUGGAAAUCCUAAAUCUCCCAUUAUGUUGAAUUAGAAGAAUUCUCACGCAGUAGGAAAUCGAUCAUGUUUAAGGCUCUCCUGAAACUUAAUGGUUAAAUUUCAUGAGAUUUUCAUAAUUAGACAUUGAACAACAUGUGAAAAUAUCCAGAUCAUAAGAAAUAGUACCUCUGAAAUAUCACACUUUCGGAAGCUAAAGCAUCUCUCAAAGCAGCAUAACCAUUUGUAGGACGAAAAGCAGUGACACAGUUUGUUAAUCUCUUAUUAAACCGGAAAGAGUCAUUCGUUUGCAAAAUAUCUGGGCACGGCAAUCAUGUCGUUUUCAAACCUCAAAAUUAGUAUUUUGGCACAACAAUAAACACAAUUCACCAUCAUACUACUAAAAGCCUGACUUGCAGCCUUGCAGGAUAUUGCUUCUAGAGCUUUGGUCUGAACAGAGACAUCAACAUCUGAAGUGAAUAAAGAAAACAGAUGUUCCCAGCCGUUUUUGCUUCCAUUACCAGUUGUUGGCUCUUGGGGUUGUUCUACACAAUUGUGGAUACAACCUCUCCAGCAUUUAUUUGAAUCCUCUGUGGGGACUCUUUAGGAACACCGCAAUAGAGGGACCAAACCACCAAUUGAGAGAAGAUACUACGACAGAUAAAUUAACAACACAUUAUAACAACCCUUCUGCUUCUAUAUGCCAUAAAAUGCAAGCACAUCAACUUCAUGAAUCAAUUAAUGGAAAAGGUAACAAUGUGCCAUCAGCCAUGUCAAAGGACUCAACCUGCUUCUGCACUUCAUCGUUACGACUCUGCCAUAUCCAGAAAAUAAUUACUAACAAUACUAACAUACUAUUAACUUAAAAACUGUUAGAGCACAAGGAAAACUCAAUUUGAAUAUCAGCAGGCUCCCAGAGCUCCCAAAUCCUCCUGAGGUGUUUUCCAUAACAAGUGUGUUAUCUCUUCAUGCGCUUUAACCCACAUCAAUGGUCUGCCUGCAUGGCUUCCAUGAAAUACUUAAGGUCUUCCACACUAUAACAAAAAACCACAAACCACUGAUUUUGAGACAUAUACAACUAUACAACACAGAUAUAUAGAACAAAGAGUUGCAGAGUUUAUUAGAGAGUGAGAAUACAUCGAACUUCGAUUUGGGUGAGUUCCAUUAGGGUGAGCAAGGCUCCAUUUAAACAUGGUGUACUUAAUUAGCAUACCACUGCGCGCAAGAGAAAGGGUUCGGAACUUCGGAUUAUAGGUAGAAGAUCUCCAUGCUGCACAUGACUCAAAAAUGGUGCAAGAGAAGGCCUUACCCUUGAAGAGUCCAAGCCAGCUUAUAGUUUAUCUGUAGUAUACCACAGUUAUAUAUCUCGUAAUCCGGUAGUUAUUUGUAUCAUAUUGGACUGCUGACCCAGGAGUGACAUACAAAAUUUCAGACCAGCUUCAUAAACCAGUCGGAUUCAAAGGCUUCACCCUAAGGUCAUCAUCUUUUAUCAAACUGUUAAUAACUAAUCUACAUAUAAAUUUUGAAAAGGUCAAAUCAAUCAAAGAAGAAAAAGAAAAAGCAGAUAAAUUCUGAAUUGAUCCAUGACAGUUUAGCCGGCUUAAAACACGGCAAGACAACAAGUUUUCAGAACAUUCUGAAUAAAUAAACAAACAUCUCCACAACAGCAAAUUCUUAACCAAGUUCCAUGAAACUCUAUCUUAAUAGUCCCUUUCAUCUACAAAAUCCCUAGCAAGCGCUGUGAAUACUUCCUUUGUUGGCUUUUUAAAUUCAACUGUGUGAGUAGCACCUGAAUUCAACUUCAACACAGCCUGUCCUCUUCCACUGUUGUUAAAAGCUGUGUUAGCUGUUGCAUCUUUAAAAAAAUCGAGACAUCUGACAAUCAGUUGCUGGUGAACUCCAAGCAGCAAAAUCUUAGGAACACUAGAAAAUUGCUUCUUAAUGAAUUUGGUCACCGCCUCCUCAUUCUCCUCUUCAUAUGCGAAUUUUCGGGUGAUACAUAGCAAUUUGGUACUCAAUAUGUGGAUCAAAUGAUCAUGCUUGUCAGCCAAAUGCUUGAUCAUAUGAUCCUUCUCCUCUUCGAUUAUUAGACCUUCUGGAGAUAAAAUGGCUCCUUGAAUGAAACCGCCAGUGUAUAUAUCAUCUAAACCAGAUACUGUAGCACAUUCCUUCAGGGAGGAAAGCCACUCAUCAUGUGUUUCAGGAUUCCCCCUCUCUUUCAAUAUUAUGACCAAGUGUUCUCUAGCAGCCUCUCCUCCUGUCCCAGACGAAACCAUAGACCCACUUCCAAAUGCAUCACGAUCUUUAGUUCCAAUUAACUUAAUACAAGGUGCUCCAUUCAUUCCAUCAACUGAGUAUAUACCAAACUGUGCUUUAAGUAUUGGCUUGACUCCUUGAUUUUUCUUAUUCCUCAGGAUCUCUUUUUUCAUGUCUGUCAGAUGUUUCUCUUUGUGCUUCUUAAGCUUUGUACUCAUUUUGUUCAAAUCUUCGGAAUUUUGAGCACAUAUCUCCAACAUCUCAUCAGUUAAAGCAACAUUGCCAGCUGUUGUUGCACAUAUUUUGUCAGUCACUUUGUAUAUCUUCUUAUCAUUUCCUUUUAGCACAAACAAAUUGUCUUGUGGUGUAGAGGAAGAACAUGUACGCCCAUCUGAUACUAUAUAUAUAGUAUCACCAUUUAUGUAUGAUAUGGUGGUUGUCCCCCUUCCAACCCUGAAAAGGAAGCUCGUGAGUACUAUGCAACCAUUUAUGCAUCAAACAUAACUAAGAACAAUGUUCAAACAUAUGUGGAUCAAAUGAUCAUGUUGUAGUUACACUAUAAAUGCUCAACAAAAGACCAAUUGAACUUACAGCAGCCCUUUGGACCACUAUUUAUAUCAAUAGUUUUAUGUUACAUCAUAUAGUGACAUGAUUUCUGGAAUAUGAAUGUGCAUGUACAUUUAGUUCUGAUGUUGUGUAUGCCUUAAAACUGAUAUGUGCAGUUUGAAGAUUUUGCAUUUGGGUUAAUGCAAGGAAUUUCUGGUUUUUUUACAAGGAAAAAAAUUCCUUGCAGAAGGCCAUUUUUCUUGUAGUGUUUUGGGUUUGAAGCAAUGAAGGGAAUAAGUUAUUGGUUUGUUAUAGCUCUUCAAAUCAUAAGUUAUUACUUUUUCCUCCAAGUAAUGGUCUUAUGUUCAUGAUGCAGGUACUUACUUGGUUUCCCCCUUUUCUAACCUUCUCAAUCAUGAGCAUAAAAUUGAGCUUCUUUAUGUGUUUCCUCUACUGACUGUGUCUUCUUACGACUUAUCUAAGUGGAAAGAUUCACUUUUUUUGUUUUCUAUGCCAGGUAGAGCAACUUUAUGCAGAUUAGAGAAUACCUAUAUCAGUAGUAAUGUAGUAUACCUUACACUAAUCCUAAUCAUUUGUCCCUUCUUUAUGAAAAACUAAAAAGAAUACAAUUUGAACUCAAACUUGAAUGCAUUGAAAUAUAAAAGAAAUUUGUAGCACCUACUUGUUCUCUGAAUCAGAGGUAGAAUCCAUCUUGUCCCACCACCACCAAUACUCAACCUUUCCUACAAAAAUAAACCAAAACCUUGAAAAUCAACAAAAAGAUUGAAUCUUUACUGUGUUUUUGUGUUGAAAUACAAUUUUCAGUGUAUGAGAGAGGGAGAGAGGUUAAUGGUAUAAAGAGAGAGGAAGAGAAAGAAGUUAGCUUACAGAGCUUAGGUUGUGCUUGAGAGAGAGAGAGAGGGAGGGGGGUGGAGGAGGAGGCAGUCACAGAGCUUAGUCUCCCUGUUAAGAAAUGUAUUUCUUCUUCUUGAGAGAGAGAGAGAGAGAGAGAGAGAGAGAGAGAGAGAAAGGUGGGAGGCAGUCACAGAGCUUAAUCUCCCCUGUUGAGAACAUGUUUUUCUUCUUCUUCUUCUUCAUUAGAGUUAGCUUUAGUGCUAAUCAAAGCUUGCCAUUUCUAGUAUAGAACGCUGCUUCUCUAGGUUUUGAUUGGUAGAGACUAUAUGGGUUUAGAGUGGGGCUAUGUGCGUAUCUAUGGUGGGGUUUAGACAGAUGUCACCCACUAAAGAAGAAGAGUCCAAAAAAUAUACUUCGAAUUCAUGAACCCUCCCAGGAAGCAUAACUUCAUUAACUGCUUUGGUAGUUUGGUAGUUGUUUGGCAGAUAUUUCAAAUUUAUGUGUCAAAUAAAUUAGAAGUGUAACCUUUAUUCCUAAGUGAAUAAUGUUUUCAGGAACACUGGUUUUACCAGUCAAAAGAAAAAUGGACACUAUUGCUCUUGAUUGGAGGUCUCUUAUAUACAAGUGCUCCCAAAUACAUUUCAAACACAUGAAUUUUUGAAAGGAACUUCCCAUAUGCUGCAAACUGAAGCGAUUCAGCAACAUUGAGCAACCCCUCAAGGCCUCAACUCCCGCUACUCGGCUCUUCCUCCAGUCAUUCUUUGCGGCCAGGCCUCCAUUGACAUUCAGCCUCUCUUGAUGGCAUUGAAGAUCUAGAUUAGUUUGUUUCGGCAAAAGCCCUCAGUUAACCUUGGAGGCUAAAGCAGGGGUAUU
rnacentral:lncRNA from 1 species